AUUACCUCAGUAACGGCGAGUGAAGCGGUAACAGCUCAAAUUUGAAAUCUGGCCUCACGGUCCGAGUUGUAAUUUGUAGAGGAUGCUUCGAGCAUGGUCUGGCCUAAGUUCCUUGGAACAGGACGUCAUAGAGGGUGAGAAUCCCGUAUGCGGCCAGGUGCCUACGCUCAUGUGAAGCUCCUUCGACGAGUCGAGUUGUUUGGGAAUGCAGCUCAAAAUGGGUGGUAAAUUUCAUCUAAAGCUAAAUAUUGGCCAGAGACCGAUAGCGCACAAGUAGAGUGAUCGAAAGAUGAAAAGCACUUUGGAAAGAGAGUUAAACAGUACGUGAAAUUGUUGAAAGGGAAGCGCUUGCAACCAGACUUGCGCGCGGCCGAUCAUCCGGUGUUCUCACCGGUGCACUCGGCCGUGCUCAGGCCAGCAUCGGUUUUGGCGGCUGGAUAAAGGCCCUAGGAAUGUAGCUCCUCUCGGGGAGUGUUAUAGCCUAGGGUGCAAUGCAGCCUGCUGGGACCGAGGACCGCGCUUCGGCUAGGAUGCUGGCGUAAUGGUUGUAAGCGGCCCGUCUUGAAACACGGACCAAGGAGUCUAACAUCUAUGCGAGUGUUUGGGUGUCAAACCCAUACGCGUAAUGAAAGUGAACGGAGGUGAGAACCCUUAAGGGUGCAUCAUCGACCGGUCCUGAAGUUUACGGAAGGAUCUGAGUAAGAGCAUAGCUGUUGGGACCCGAAAGAUGGUGAACUAUGCCUGAAUAGGGUGAAGCCAGAGGAAACUCUGGUGGAGGCUCGCAGCGGUUCUGACGUGCAAACCGAUCGUCAAAUUUGGGUAUAGGGGCGAAAGACUAAUCGAACCAUCUAGUAGCUGGUUCCUGCCGAA
rnacentral:rRNA from 1 species